rnacentral:piRNA from 1 species
GAACCUACUCAGGAUUCACUGGUGCAGUC